rnacentral:tmRNA from 1 species
GGGGCCGUAAAGGUUUCGACGGGGGUGUGGAGGCUGGAAUAGCGGGCGGAUGCGCCUACCAUCCUUAAAAUGGGCAAUUAUAAAUUAAAGAACAACGACAACGCUGUUCUCGCCGCUGCUUAAUUAGCGGCCGUCCGACCCGGGAGCACCACGGCCUGGGAAUUCGGGCGUCGAUGAGUGGUGAACGUGCGUGCGGUAAGCUUUGCCCGCACCAUGCAUCAUGAAGCUACCAAUCCCGGCUGUCUGCGUAUCCUCAGCCGGGGGCGGGAAUUCUGAAGAUACGCUGCGCCCGGAGAAGUUCCUUCUGAAGCGCUUUCGGACGCGGGUUCAAUUCCCGCCGGCUCCACCA